rnacentral:rRNA from 1 species
UACGGGAGGCAGCGGUGGGGGAAUAUUGCACAAUGGGCGCAAGCCUGAUGCAGCCAUGCCGCGUGUAUGAAAAAGGCCUUCGGGUUGUAAAGUACUUUCAGUCGUGAGGAAGGUGUUAAGGUUAAUAACCUUAGCAAUUGACGUUAGCGACAGAAGAAGCACCGGCUAACUCCGUGCCAGCAGCCGCGGUAAUACGGAGGGUGCGAGCGUUAAUCGGAAUUACUGGGCGUAAAGGGCACGCAGGCGGUUAAUUAAGUUGGAUGUGAAAUCCCCGGGCUUAACCUGGGAAUGGCAUUCAAGACUGGUUAGCUAGAGUCUUGUAGAGGGGGUAGAAUUCCAUGUGUAGCGGUGAAAUGCGUAGAGAUGUGGAGGAAUACCGGUGGCGAAAGGCGGCCCCUGGACAAAGACUGACGCUCAUGUGCGAAAGCGUGGGGAGCAAACAGGGAUUAGAUACC